UGGUUUGAGAGGCUGAAGCUGCCAGCAUGAUCUGGUAAUGAACCAUUAUAUAUCUAUAUCACUGAUUUUCCUUUUUCAUAUAUUUGUUUUUUGGUUUUAUAUGUAUUAUAUUAUUCUGCCUAAAGCCUUUUAUACACCAAUAGUGAAGUAGAUUUGCGGAACCAGUUUUUGGACCAAAAUCUUGUCUUAAAUCUAUAGAUGAGUUAUGUUCGGUGUUUAAAAUGUUUUUUUAGAACAAGGGUAUUGUCCAUUUUGUCGAAGAGGUUUAGUUUUGCCAGGAAUUUAGAUGCAAUUUAGUGAGAAACUCAAACCCAGCUUUGGAGCCUAGCUUCAUAUAUAUAGAUAUAUAUGGUUCAACAUCAUCAGGUCAUUCUUGCAGCUUCAAUCACUCAAUCA
rnacentral:pre_miRNA from 1 species